rnacentral:lncRNA from 1 species
AGGCGCCAGUAAUCUCGCAGAUAUCUCCGACAAUUGAUUACUUCUGAAGUUCAACUCGCGAAGUGACGUUUGCAUCCGAAAUAAUUCAUCGGGUAAUUCCCUCAGUCGAUUUUCCUCCAAACCAAGAUAUUUGAGAUUUGUCAAGUCUUUAAACAGGUCAACAGGAAAGGUCGAGCAAUACUAGCAACGUUGUGCUCAAGAAGAGGCUCUCUGGUAGAUUUCGCAACUUAUUGGAAGACGCAUCUCUGCAUCGCAUCAGAAGAAGAUUUAAUUAAUUAGAAAAAGGUAAAAAAAAAAAAAAAAAUAUCAGAAAUCAAAAGAAAGAAA